rnacentral:rRNA from 1 species
UACAGAGGGGGCAAGCGUUGUUCGGAAUUACUGGGCGUAAAGGGCGCGUAGGCGGCCCGCUAAGUCGAACGUGAAAUCCCCGAGCUCAACUCGGGAACUGCGUCCGAUACUGGCGGGCUUGAAUCCGGGAGAGGGAUGCGGAAUUCCAGGUGUAGCGGUGAAAUGCGUAGAUAUCUGGAGGAACACCGGUGGCGAAGGCGGCACUCUGGGACGGUACUGACGCUGAGACGCGAAAGCGUGGGGAGCGAACAGG